UACAGAAGCCUCGAGCGUUACCCGGAUUCACUGGGCGUAAAGGGUGCGUAGGCGGAUAUAUUAGUCGAGUGUUAAAUCUUUGGGCUCAACCCAAAGGCCGCAUUCGAAACGGUAUAUCUAGAAGAAGUCAGAGGUGUACGGAACUCAAGGUGUAGGGGUGAAAUCCGUUGAUAUCUUGGGGAACACCAAAUGCGAAGGCAGUACACUGGGACUUUCUUGACGCUGAGGCACGAAAGCAUGGGUAGCGAACGGG
rnacentral:misc_RNA from 1 species